AUGGCGCACGCUGGCACUACCAGUGCCACCCCGUGUUCGGUUGUGUUGUACAAGUUAUUCAUACUGCUCUUUUCCAUACAAGGAUCUACCGCGGGAGCUACUGAUGUGAUCACAUCCACGCGGCCGCUCUCUGGGAAACAGAAGUUGGUCUCCCAGGGUGGCAAGUUCGCUUUGGGGUUUUACCAGCCAGGUGGUGGACCCCAAGACAAGUGGUAUAUUGCAAUAUGGUAUAACAAGGUGCAAAAAGUUACUCCAGUGUGGAUAGCCAAUAGGGAAACACCCAUCUCAGACCCGACAUCAUCAGAGUUAACUAUAUGGACUGAUGGCAACCUGGUUCUUCUCAACAAGUCUAGGUCUAUAUUUUGGUCUAGCAACACCACAACCACCACUGGAGCCUCCAACACAACCAUUGUUGUUGUGCUCCUCAACACUGGUAAUCUAGUUCUUACAUAUGCAUCCAACACCUCCAAUAUAAUAUGGCAAAGCUUCAAUCACCCCACUGACACUCAACUUCCUGGCAUGAAGUUUGGGCGAAACAAGCUCACAGGCGUGAGCGACCGCCAGGUCUCAUGGAGAAACUAUAUGGACCCAUCUCCAGGCCUCUUCUCGGUCGCGAUGGAUCCGAGCGUAGCAGCACAAUACUUGCUCAUAUGGAACAACUCCCGACCUUAUUACACCCCUGGAAAGUUCAAUCCGCAAGCAGGCGCAUUUAGCAGCAUCCCAUCGAUGACGGUGAUGAUGAUGCCAAACUCUAUAUACUCAUAUGAGUAUGUCGAAAAUGACAAGGAGGAGUACUUCUUGCUCACAGUCAAGGAUGAUAACCUCUUCCUCCGCACUGUGAUUGACCCAUUUGGCCAACAGAAGGGGAUGGUAUGGUUAGAGGACAAGCAAGACUGGAUGUUAUACUUUGCGGAGCCCAGUGAGAAGUGCUCAGUCUACUCCAUGUGCGGGGCUUUCAGUUGGUGCGCCGAAAACAUCAUCCCAAUGUGUAGCUGCCUUAGGGGCUUCAGCGCACAAAGCCCAAUUGAAUGGAGCUCGGGAAAUUACAUGGGAGGUUGCACCAGGAAUGUUGCAUUGCCAUGCAGCUUAAAUGGUGGAGGUUCGGUGCCAUUAGUGCAUAGAUAUGAAGAGGAUAGAUUCUAUGUGGCCAAUAACGUGAGAUUGCCUGAUGGGUCACAGACUGUGAGAGCAGCAAGCGCAAUUGAGAGUGAGGUAGCCUGCCUUAACAACUGUUCUUGCAUGGCCUACUCUUACAACGAGACCUGCUCUUUGUGGUACACCGAUCUGAUGAACCUAAAAGAAAAUCUUGGUAACACAACUAAUAGUAUAUUCAUUCGACUUCCUGCUUCUGAGAUACCACACACCAAAUCUUCGAGAGGGCGACCAUUAUGGGUUAUUGUUGGAGGCUCAAUACUCGCAUUGGGUGUAUGCCUUGUGGCUGUUUUGUGUCUUCUUCAUAAAAAAAGAAGCUUCAAGGGUUUACUUCACAUUGACAUUAACAUGACCACCUUUAGGUACAAAGAUCUGCAAUUGGUAACUAAGACCUUUUCAGAAAAGCUAGGUGCUGGAUCUUUCGGCUCCGUGUUCAAAGGAGUCCUUCAAGAUGGCACAACUGUGGCGAUUAAGAAGCUUGAAGGUGUUCGUCAAGGCGAGAAGCAGUUUCGGGCAGAGAUGAGCACACUUGGAACUAUUCACCAUGUAAAUUUGAUCCAAUUGCUUGGGUUUUGCUCAGAAGGAGAGCAUCGGAUGCUCAUUUACGAGUACAUGCCACAUGGCGCACUAGACCAACACCUGUUUAGGGCUGGUCUUGGUGAUGUUCUGCCUUGGAACACAAGAUACCAAAUAGCCAUCGGCAUUGCCAAAGGUUUAACUUACUUGCAUGACAACUGCAUGAAUUGCAUCAUCCAUUGUGAUAUCAAGCCAGAAAACAUAUUAUUGGAUGCAACAUUUUCCCCAAAAGUGGCGGAUUUUGGAUUGGCGAAGCUGCUAGGCCGGGACUUUAGCAGGGUCAUCACGACAAUGCGAGGAACCAUCGGGUAUUUGGCACCCGAAUGGAUAGGUGGUACCGCCAUCACUGCGAAAGUUGACGUGUUCAGCUACGGAAUGAUGCUCUUUGAGAUCAUCUCGCUGAAAAGAAAUGUGGAGCAUGGGAAGCGAUGCGCAGACAAGUUCUUUCCGAUACUAGUUGCAACGAAGAUUCAAGAAGGAGAUGUGCAUGAAUUGUUGGAUGCUCACUUGAGAAGAGAUGUCAACUUGGAGGAGCUCGACAGGGCUUGCAUGGUUGCUUGUUGGUGCGUCCAACAAGAUGAGCGCUCUAGGCCGACCAUGGGAGUAAUUGUACAGAUAUUGGAAGGUCUCGUGGAGGUUAAUAUGCCGCCAGUUCCACGAUAUCUUCAGGUUCUAGCUGAAUCGGCGGGCGAAUCGAUGCUCUCAUCAAUCGAAUAA
rnacentral:rRNA from 1 species